rnacentral:tRNA from 1 species
UAGGAAUUUAUUCGAGACCCGGAGGAGUCUUUAGGCUCCUCCUCCGGGUCUCUUUUACAUUUAU